rnacentral:lncRNA from 1 species
GUCUGGCUCAGGUGGCCACAGAAUGAAGGACCGGGCCAAAAUGCUGAUGUUGCUGUUAGUGUGGGGAUUAUGGUACCUGACAGCGCUGGAAGAGGGAGGUACUGCAUCUGCUGCCUUCUUGUUUCCCAGCGUGGAGAGACAGCUCCAGGACACUAAGAAGUCUGUGGAUGAUAAAAAUGAGAACAGUGUGGACCAGAAUAUUAUGAAGAUUAUGGAGGACAGCCUGGAAAUUCUGGGGAAAGAAACAAUGGAUAUUCCUGUGGAAACCAGCAAGCUGAUUUUAGACUAUCGCAAUGAGAAGAAACGUCAGAAGGUGGAGAAUGCCACACUGUACAGCCAGAAGGAAGUCAUGAAAUUGACAGAUAAUCAUACUGAUAUAUUGUUCUCAGAGGAAAUUAUGACCUCAAUUGAACAGAUGGACACUCAAGGUGAAGAGAAAAAGGAGAAAAUGCCAGAGGCUAGUCAGCAAGAAAAAAGCAUUGAGGAAGACAGACCAAUCACUGAGAACAGGUUCCUGAAUUUGGGUGUCCCCCAGCCAAGACUUCGGCUAUUUUUUAUCUAUCGCUUCCCUCCUCAACUUAAGAGUGAGCAGCAGGUCCCUGAAGCAAACUGGUUAAAGGAAGAGCCAGUCAGUGAUAGGAGGCACAGGCUGCUGGCCAUUCGGAAUGGGCUUUUAGCUGCCCCCCGACCCAUCAAGAAGAAGGCCCUGCUUGUCACCCCGACUCAACCAACCACCCCGAGAAAACGUCGCUUCUUUUUCUUCUGGAGGAAAAUAUAA